CCUACGGGUGGCAGCAGUGAGGAAUAUUGGUCAAUGGACGAGAGUCUGAACCAGCCAAGUAGCGUGAAGGAUGACUGCCCUAUGGGUUGUAAACUUCUUUUAUAAAGGAAUAAAACGAGGCACGUGUGCCUUUUUGCAUGUACUUUAUGAAUAAGGAUCGGCUAACUCCGUGCCAGCCGCCGCGGUACUACGGAGGAUCCGAGCGUUAUCCGGAUUGAUUGGGUUUAAAGGGAGCGUAGAUGGGUUGUUAAGUCAGUUGUGAAAGUUUCCGGCUCAACCGUAAAAUUGCAAUUGAGACUGGCAGUCUUGAGUACAGUUGAGGUAAGCGGAAUUCGUGGUGUAGCGGUGAAAUGCUUAGAUAUCACGAAGAACCACGAGUGCGAAGGCAGCUUACUAAACUGUGACUGACAUUGAUGCUCGAAAGUGUGGGUAUCAAACAGGAUUAGAUACCCUUGUAGUC
rnacentral:rRNA from 1 species